GGGGGCGCAUUUGGUUUCGACGUGGAUUAUGAAGCUUAAUGGUGCAUGCCGAGUACGAUGCUAACUCGCUAAAAUUGUGUCAAAAAAAUAGUCGCAAAUGACGAAAACUUUGCUCUAGCUGCUUAAUAACCCAGCUAGUUCCUACUUCAGCUUGUCUGUAGGCCGAAAAUAGGAAUCAUAUAUACAGAACCGUUGAUGUCAGUGCCUUCCUGACUGAUACUAAACUAAAGAUAGGCUCGUUAGCAGAUUGUUUGAUCGUCGACUGUUUGCUAAUCAGAUUAAAGACGAAUCUAAGCAUGUAGAUCCUUAAGGUGAGAAUUUGCGGACGGGGGUUCAACUCCCCCCGCCUCCACCA
rnacentral:tmRNA from 1 species